rnacentral:tRNA from 1 species
ACGCUGACGGAAUCGGCGGGACGGAAUUUUUAACGCCUCCUAAGCGGUAGGUCCCCGGUUCGAAUCCGGGCUCGCGCACCA